UAUAGAGGUGGCAAGCGUUGUUCGGAAUUACUGGGCGUAAAGGGCGCGUAGGCGGUUCGUUAAGUCCUGUGUGAAAUCCCCCGGCUCAACUGGGGAACUGCACAGGAAACUAGCGGGCUUGAGUUCGGGAGAGGGAAGCGGAAUUCCGGGUGUAGCGGUGAAAUGCGUAGAUAUCCGGAGGAACACCGGUGGCGAAGGCGGCUUCCUGGACCGACACUGACGCUGAGGCGCGAAAGCUAGGGGAGCAAACGGG
rnacentral:rRNA from 1 species